rnacentral:rRNA from 1 species
UACGUAGGGUCCGAGCGUUGUCCGGAAUUACUGGGCGUAAAGAGCUCGUAGGUGGUUUGUCGCGUUGUCCGUGAAAACUCACAGCUUAACUGUGGGCGUGCGGGCGAUACGGGCAGACUGGAGUACUGCAGGGGAGACUGGAAUUCCUGGUGUAGCGGUGAAAUGCGCAGAUAUCAGGAAGAACACCCGUGGCUAAGGCGGUUCUCUAGUACGGUACUGACGCUGAGACGCGAAAGCGUGGGGAGCGAACAGG